AGGUGAUUGGGGACCACCAGGGGAUGGUGGGCAACCACCAGGAGAUGAAUGGGGACCACCAGGAUGUAACUUGACCAUCAGGGGAUGACUGGGGACCACCAAGAGGUGACUGGAGACCACCAGGAAAUGUUGGGCAACCACAAGGAGGUGAUUGGGGACCAUCGGGACGUGGCUGACCACCAAGAGGUGACUGGGGACCACCAGGAAGUGACUGGGAACAAGCAGUGGAUGUUUGGUGACCUGGGCACCACCAGGAGGUGACUGGGGACCACCAGGAGAUGUUGGGCAACCAUCAGGAGGUGACUGGGGACCAGCAGGGCAUGACUGACCAGCAGGGGAUGGUUGGAGACUACCAGGAGGUGACCGAGGACCACCAGGAGUUGUUGGGCAACCACAAGGAGGUGAUUGGGGACCAUCGGGACGUGGCUGACCACCAGGGGAUGACUGGGGACCAUCAGGGGAUGUUGGACAACCACCAAGAGGUGACUGGGGACCACCAGGAGGUGACUGGGAACAAGCAGUGGAUGUUUGGUGACCUGGGCACCACCAGGAGGUGAUUGGGGACCACCAGAAGAUGGGUCGACCACCAGGAGAUGUCGAGUAAGUAUCAGGGGGACAUCAGAGGACCAUCACGGGAUACUGGGGACCCCGAGGGACCAGCCCUCGGUGUGCACUGGGUCUGGAAGAGUCCUGGGGCACUCACCAGCUUCUGCAUGUUGGCAGCGGGUGGCUGCACUUUGCUCCUCAGCUUGUUGUGCAGCGAGAGCACCAGGAAGGUCUCCUUCGCGCUGAGAGCUGCGGAGGCCUCCAGACCAGGCAGGCCAGCAGCACCAGGAGCCGGCCGGCCGGACCCCUGCCGUCCUCCAUGCCCCGCAGCCGCUCUCACAGAAGGGAAGAUUUGGGAGGGAAGGGAGGAUUUGGGGAGGGACGAGCCGGUCCUGCGUGCCUGUGUGUCUGCUUCCAAGAUUUUAUCCUAUUCAGGACUUCAGACAGGCACUGCUGGUCAGCCCGAACAAAAGGUUGACGGCCUGCGUGGCAGCAGCCAGCCCCGCCGCGAUGCUGCUCGUCCUGCUGCCAGCCUGGGUGGCUCUGUGUGUCCUGCAGCUGCCCCUCGGCAGCACCCAGGUAAGGACCCCACUCCCAAAAUCAGCAUAGACACAUUACCUGUGGGGCUGCCCUGGGCCAUGGGGUGGUUUUGGGGCUCAGCCCCUGCUGGGGAGGAUGCUGGACCCUGCUGGGGUGUUCCCUCAGCACCAGAGUAGGGCCAGGAGGGGGGCUGGGGUUGGAGCAGAUGCAGAAGCAAAGACAAACCCCGCGGUGGGAUGGGGAGAGAUGAGCUCAGAGCAUCCCAACCGUCCCCAAGUGCUGCCCGCCUGCAUGGGAGGG
rnacentral:lncRNA from 1 species